UGGCUCUUUUCCAAGCUCCUGGUCCAUGGAGUGGAAAGUUUGGCUUAGGGAAGAGGGCUCCUAGUUCCCCAUGAGCCCCUCUGCAGCCUGAAGGAGGAUAACUCGGCACAUAGGGACUGAAGUAGCCACUAGUCUCAACAGAAUUCCUCCUUCAGUCAAGCUCCAGCUAUCCAACGGCAAGUGAAACGACUAAAUAUUAAUCUACUGUGGGUCUGAGUGGUCUGUGAGAAGCUGAGCUCCUCAGCAAGCAGCCCUUGCUGAAAGCAGGAGCACAGUCCUUUUGAGCAGGGCUCCUGUUUUUCUUUCAGAGCUCUGCUGAAGAAGAAGACACGGAGUCUUUCUUUCCUGCACAAUAGCCAAGUGAUGAGUACCCAAAACACAAGGCUUGCAAGAAAUAAGGCUACUCAGGAGGUGGGGAAUGUUGCUGUUCUCUCAGAGCAGUACCUUUGUGCAGGAAAAAAGCUCAAACCUCACAAGCUUGCUGUUGCCCUUCUGAAACCUUGUCACUUGGAAUUUUGCUGAAAAAGUGCAUUUGGUACCAUUUUGAACCAGCCUUUCCCUUAAAAAUUAUUGUUUGAAGAGUGAAGGAGGUGGAUCAGAAUCACUGAAAUUUUUGAAUAUGGCAGACUCUCAUACCACCCAUUCAGCUGCUACCAACUUCUCUCAUAUAGAAAGCUGGCAACACAAGUAAUUUCCCUCUGGUUUUGGUCAAUAAAAAUGUUAUUGAACUAUGUUUGCAAACCCCAGGAGUGUGUUACUGUUGGUAGAUUCAGUAUUGUAUACCCAGGUAGCUAUUGAGACAAACCAAGGAGUACUUCCAGAUAGCUCCAAACAAUUAGAGAAAUACAAGAUUAAAAUAACGAUAUUAAAUUUUGGUUUUCAAAAAGCUGAUGGAGGCUAUAAGCCUACUUCAUACACAAAGAACA